rnacentral:rRNA from 1 species
GUUGGGUAGGGGAGCGUUCUGUAAGCCUGCGAAGGUGUACUGUGAGGUAUGCUGGAGGUAUCAGAAGUGCGAAUGCUGACAUAAGUAACGAUAAUGCGGGUGAAAAACCCGCACGCCGGAAGACCAAGGGUUCCUGUCCAACGUUAAUCGGGGCAGGGUGAGUCGACCCCUAAGGCGAGGCUGAAAAGCGUAGUCGAUGGGAAACGGGUUAAUAUUCCCGUACUGGUGGUAACUGCGAUGGGGGAACGGAGAAGGCUAGGUUGUCCGGGCGACGGUCGUCCCGGUUCAAGCAGGUAGGCAGAGUGAUUAGGCAAAUCCGGUCACUUAAUGCUGAGAUGUGAUGACGAACCACCAAGGUGGUGAAGCAAUUGAUGCCCCGCUUCCAGGAAAAGCCUCUAAGCUUCAGGUUACCAACAAUCGUACCCCAAACCGACACAGGUGGUCAGGUAGAGAAUACUCAGGCGCUUGAGAGAACUCGGGUGAAGGAACUAGGCAAAAUGGUGCCGUAACUUCGGGAGAAGGCACGCUGGCGGUAGGUAAAGUCCCUCGCGGACGGCGCUGAAGCCAGUCGAAGAUACCAGCUGGCUGCAACUGUUUAUUAAAAACACAGCACUGUGCAAACACGAAAGUGGACGUAUACGGUGUGACGCCUGCCCGGUGCUGGAAGGUUAAUUGAUGGGGUCAGCCGCAAGGCGAAGCUCCUGAUCGAAGCCCCAGUAAACGGCGGCCGUAACUAUAACGGUCCUAAGGUAGCGAAAUUCCUUGUCGGGUAAGUUCCGACCUGCACGAAUGGCGUAAUGAUGGCCAGGCUGUCUCCACCCGAGACUCAGUGAAAUUGAACUCGCUGUGAAGAUGCAGUGUACCCGCGGCAAGACGGAAAGACCCCGUGAACCUUUACUAUAGCUUGACACUGAACAUUGAGCCUUGAUGUGUAGGAUAGGUGGGAGGCUUUGAAGUGUGGACGCCAGUCUGCAUGGAGCCAACCUUGAAAUACCACCCUUUAACGUUUGAUGUUCUAACCUAGGCCCAUAAACUGGGUCGGGGACCGUGUCUGGUGGGUAGUUUGACUGGGGCGGUCUCCUCCUAAAGAGUAACGGAGGAGCACGAAGGUUGGCUAAGCAUGGUCGGACAUCAUGCGGUUAGUGCAAAGGCAUAAGCCAGCUUGACUGCGAGAGUGACGGCUCGAGCAGGUACGAAAGUAGGUCUUAGUGAUCCGGUGGUUCUGAAUGGAAGGGCCAUCGCUCAACGGAUAAAAGGUACUCCGGGGAUAACAGGCUGAUACCGCCCAAGAGUUCAUAUCGACGGCGGUGUUUGGCACCUCGAUGUCGGCUCAUCACAUCCUGGGGCUGAAGUAGGUCCCAAGGGUAUGGCUGUUCGCCAUUUAAAGUGGUACGCGAGCUGGGUUUAGAACGUCGUGAGACAGUUCGGUCCCUAUCUGCCGUGGGCGUUGGAAGAUUGAGAGGGGUUGCUCCUAGUACGAGAGGACCGGAGUGAACGCACCACUGGUGUUCGGGUUGUCAUGCCAAUGGCAUUGCCCGGUAGCUAAGUGCGGAAGAGAUAACCGCUGAAAGCAUCUAAGCGGGAAACUUGCCUCGAGAUGAGUCUUCCCUGUCGCUUUAAGCGACCUAAAGGAACGUUUAAGACUAAGACGUUGAUAGGCUGGGUGUGUAAGCGUAGCGAUACGUUGAGCUAACCAGUACUAAUGAACCGUGAGGCUUAACCUGACAACACCGAAAGUGUUUUG